rnacentral:rRNA from 1 species
AAGCCCCGGCUAACUACGUGCCAGAAGCCGCGGUAAUACGUAGGGGGCUAGCGUUAUCCGGAUUUACUGGGCGUAAAGGGUGCGUAGGCGGUCUUUCAAGUCAGGAGUGGAAGGCUACGGCUCAACCGUAGUAAGCUCUUGAAACUGGGAGACUUGAGUGCGGGAGAGGAGAGUGGAAUUCCUAGUGUAGCGGUGAAAUGCGUAGAUAUUAGG